rnacentral:misc_RNA from 1 species
AAUAGCAUCCAAGGGACGAA